rnacentral:rRNA from 13 species
AACGGGUUGCAAUAAACUGGUGGCUGCGACUGUUUAAUAAAAACACAGCACUCUGCAAACACGAAAGUGGACGUAUAGGGUGUGACGCCUGCCCGGUGCUGGAAGGUUAAGAGGACCGGUUAGUAGUCUUUGACUGCGAAGCUGAGAAUUUAAGCCCCAGUAAACGGCGGUGGUAACUAUAACCAUCCUAAGGUAGCGAAAUUCCUUGUCAGGUAAGUUCUGACCCGCACGAAAGGUGUAACGAUCUGGGCACUGUCUCGGAGAGAGGCUCGGUGAAAUAGACAUGUCCGUGAAGAUGCGGACUACCUACACCUGGACAGAAAGACCCUAUGAAGCUUUACUGUAACCUGGAAUUGAAUUUGGGCUUUUCUUGCGCAGUCUAGGUGGGAGGCGUUGAUAGUUCCCUUCCGGGGGGGCUUGAGCCAUCAGUGAGAGACCACUCUGGAGAAGGUAGAAUUCUAAUGGCGAUCCUUGAAUCAGGACGGUUGACAGUUUCAGGCGGGCAGUUUGACUGGGGCGGUCGCCUCCUAAAAGGUAACGGAGAUGUGCAAAGGUUCCCUCAGGCUGGACGGAAAUCAGCCGAAGAGUGUAAAGGCAGAAGGGAGCUUGACUGCAAGACCUACAAGUCGAGCAGGGGCGAAAGCCGGCCUUAGUGAUCCGAC